ACGUACACUCCUGCGGGAGGCAGCAGUGGGGAAUUUUGGACAAUGGGCGCAAGCCUGAUCCAGCCAUGCCGCGUGCGGGAAGAAGGCCUUCGGGUUGUAAACCGCUUUUGUCAGGGAAGAAAAGGUUCUGGCUAAUACCUGGGACUCAUGACGGUACCUGAAGAAUAAGCACCGGCUAACUACGUGCCAGCAGCCGCGGUAAUACGUAGGGUGCAAGCGUUAAUCGGAAUUACUGGGCGUAAAGCGUGCGCAGGCGGUUAUGCAAGACAGAGGUGAAAUCCCCGGGCUCAACCUGGGAACUGCCGUUGUGACUGCAUGGCUAGAGUACGGUAGAGGGGGAUGGAAUUCCGCGUGUAGCAGUGAAAUGCGUAGAUAUGCGGAGGAACACCGAUGGCGAAGGCAAUCCCCUGGACCUGUACUGACGCUCAUGCACGAAAGCGUGGGGAGCAAACAGGAUUAGAUACCCUAGUAGUCCC
rnacentral:rRNA from 1 species